GAUGAACGCUAGCGGCAGGCUUAAUACAUGCAAGUCGUGGGGCAGCAUGAAGUAGCAAUACUUUGAUGGCGACCGGCAAACGGGUGCGGAACACGUACACAACCUUCCUUUUAGUGGGAAAUAGCCCAGAGAAAUUUGGAUUAAUACCCCGUAACAUAGCGAUGUGGCAUCACAUUGCUAUUAUAGCUUCGGCGCUAGAUGAUGGGUGUGCGUAUGAUUAGAUAGUUGGCGAGGUAACGGCUCACCAAGUCUACGAUCAUUAGCUGAUGUGAGAGCAUGAUCAGCCACACGGGCACGGAGACACGGGCCCGACUCCUACGGGAGGCAGCAGUAAGGAAUAUUGGUCAACGGACGAAAGUCUGAACCAGCCAUGCCGCGUGAAGGAUUAAGGUCCUCUGGAUUGUAAACUUCUUUUAUAUGGGACGAAAAAAGGUCUUUCUAGAUCACUUGACGGUACCAUAUGAAUAAGCACCGGCUAACUCCGUGCCAGCCGCCGCCGUAACAC
rnacentral:rRNA from 1 species